ACUCACUUACAAUGAAUUUUGAUUCAAUAAAAGUAGUUUUAGUUAGUUUCUAACCCAAGUUCGGUUGCCUUUGAUUUAGAGAAUCCUUCGGCGAGCUUAGUAGCGUGUUAGGACCCUUGUUUGUAACGAGGUAACUCAUGAGAAUGGUGAUGGCGAGAAGGAGGCUUGACUGGAAGAGACCAUUAGCUGCGUAGUUUAGUUUUGUUCUAGUUAUUGAUUUUUAGUAGGAUAGUUGCAGUGGACCUUAGAAGUAGUUGUAGUUGCUUCUUUUAGUUUGAUUUUGUUAUUUGGUUAAUAGGUUAGUUUUGUUUAGUUUCCUAUUUAAAUAAUGUUUUAAAGUUGUCAAUUUACUAUUCUUUUGAGAACUCUAAUUUUGGUUAAUUGUUCGAGUUGUGGAAAUGGAAACUUAUUGAGGCUAA